rnacentral:rRNA from 1 species
GACGAACGCUGGCGGCGUGCUUAACACAUGCAAGUCGAACGAAGUGGCGAACGGGUGAGUAACGCGUAAUCAACCUGCCCUUCAGGGGGGGAAAACAGUUGGAAACGACUGCUAAUACCGCAUACUGAAGGAGGGGAUUGCGUCGGAUUAGCUAGUUGGAUGGGUAACGGCCCACCAAGGCGAUGAUCAGUAGCCGGUUUGAGAGGUAGAACCGACAAAUUGGGACCUAGAAACGGCCCCGAAUCCUACGGGGAGCAGCAGUGGGGAAACUUUCGCAAUGGACGAAAGGCUGAAGGAGCAACGCCGCGGUAGUGAUGACGGCCUUCGGGUUUGAAAGCUCUGUUAAUCGGGACGCGGUACCUGAAUAGAAAGCCACGGCUAACUACGUGCCAGCCGCCGCGGUAAUAC